AGGAGCAUCCCCUUCCUCUUGCAUGUCCUGAGCAAGUAUUUUCACUGUUGCAGUCCCUACAUUCUUCAAACUGCAGCCUGGGCUCCCUUAGUGCAUGUCCAGAACUACAUGCCUCCUUAAAGAGAAGAAAAUUGAGCUUCCAAGAACUUGAUGUGCAAACUUCACUUUUGCAUCCUACAAAAUUGAAGAUGCUUAAUGGAGCUGCAAGAGAAAGAGUUUAUUCUCUACUGGUGAGGUCUUGCUUGGGAGCACGAUAUCCAGUUUUGAGCACUGCACUUCAAGAAAGACAUGGCCAAAUAAGAAAAAGUCCAGCACAGAGCAACAACAUUUAUUAGAGGCCAGGUGGGAGAGAACAAGAGGUACUUUUCUCAGGAGGACAGUUUCUUCUUUUGAUUUCAGUUUUGAUUGCUCUUCAAACAUGAAGCUUCAGUACCUUCCUUUAGAUGUUUAGGCUGCAAAUGGAAAGCUAUGAAGAUAAAAUCCCAUGAAAGAACGCUGUCUGAUUAGGAAUAAAGAGGGUUUGCUUUAACACUACUUUGUCAUUUUGAACAGUAAAAUGCUCAUACCCUUCCUUAGAAAUUCUCCUUGUGGAAAUAACUGGCAAAAUGACCCGUUUACAUCAGCAACUAAUGAUUAAAGAUAGCCUUGUGCUUGGAGUAUGGACUAGGAUUUAGGAAAGGACUUUCUUUUUGUAUUAGCAAUGAGAAUACAGGAUUGGGACCAGCAUCAUAUUCUGUCUGGGUGUGUCUACACAUGCAAUUAAUGUGACUGAAUAUGCUCCAACUCAAACUGAGCUGGAAUAAACCAAUCCCGACUUCACUGUCUACAUGUGCAUUUAAGUGCAGUAAUUUACUGCACUGCCGGAUACCACUUGUAUCUGAUGGGACUAUCUGGCAAUGCAGUAAAUUAAUCUACUGCACCCUAAUUGCCACAUACGUGUAGAUGGUGAUUCUUUACCGUGCAGCAAAUUAGGCUGCUGUGCAAUAAAGCAUCUCAUAUAGAUGUGCC